CGGCUACCAUGGAGACACCUAGGCGCAUCUACGGCUGCGGGUUAUCCGUCAGAAGUUCCCUUAGGCCUUGCUGGACAGGCUGAACACCGGCGCGGGAGGCGGUCAACCGCGGGAGAACUGGACACUCGAGCGCCCACCCAAACGCUGAGCAGUUUCCCGGCCCUUCCCGCUGGCGGCCCGCGCCGCAGGGGCUCGCGUGUCCUCCGCCCGAGAGCCCCGUGGCCGAGGGCGGAACACCCACUCGCUCCCGGGCAAGGUCCGCGCGCCCCGCGGGAGGGGCACGCCCUCGGUCGGGAACCGCUCUGCCCCACGCGUUGGGUCAUCUCGUUUCCGGGGCGGCCGCGGGCUCGGUCGCGAGCGCACGGGGCCUCGUCAGACCCGCGCCCGCCCGCAGCGCGGCCCAGUGCACGCCGGUCCCGCGCCCGCCCGCACCGAAGCCCAGAGCACGCUCGCGCCCGCCCGCCGCGCGGCCCAGUGCACGCCGGUCCCGGUCCCGCGCCCGCCCGCAUCGAGGCCCGGUGCACGCCGGUCCCGCGCGCCGCGCCGCCUCCACGGGCUCCAGCGCGGGCUCCGCUCAUGCUCUCGGCCACCCGGAGGCUCAGCCAGCUCUUCCACAGCCUCAUUCCGGGCCCCAGAAUGGGCGACGCCGCUUCGAAAAUCGUCAGCCCUCAAGAGGCCUUGGCCGGCCGGCCAGAACCCAUCCGCGUAGCGGGUCCCCUCUGGCGCCGCAGGAUGCUGCAGGCUGACUACGUGCAGAGAGGCUCUGAGAGAUCUGGAAAAGAUGUGAGACGGGGCUUUUAGGGUGUCCUUUGUCCCUCGGCUCCUCUUCAGAUUGAAAUACGCGGACAGGGCAGAGGAGCUGCUCAUGACCUCCGUGAAGGAAGAACGCAGGGCUGUUAGUGCAGCCGCUCAGAGCAAGACCAGAGCAACUGUGGAGAGAAAUCCAUCCGUCCUGUCUGUACAAAUAUGUGAGCGCAAUGGUAAUUACCAUAGUCAUUGUUUACUGUUGCUACAAUAUAUUAAUUAUCUAUUCAAUGAUAAUUAAAUACAU
rnacentral:lncRNA from 1 species